CCUUAGUGCAGUUCUCCAUUGGUAGAAGCUCUGCUUGAUUCCUAGCCAGGGAGUGAGGGGGCUGCAAGAAGCUGUGGUGGCACAGGUGCAGGGAAAACCCCGCAUUUUUGGUGCACCUUCAAAGCCAUCCAACCCACAUUGUACUGGAGCUGCGGUGUUCCAGCCUGUGGCUUGUUAAAGGUUGCUUGCAGCUGAUCUAUGGGUAUGUCUACACAAUAAGUUGCUGUCACUGAAGUAACCGCAAUACAGUGCAAAGACACCUGAUUUACCUGUCUAGUCAUGGAAGAUUUGAGGUCAGCCCAGUCCUCUCUAGUACAUAACUAAAUGUAGUGUAUCUUGGAUAUCUCCAUGCUAUACUGCAGUUACUACUGUGACUACAGUGUAGACAAACCCUACAUCAUUUAAUGAAUUAACAGCAUUUAAUACAAUGACUGACCUUGACUAAUCAGGUAGAUAGUAAAUGUUCUAAGCUGCUCUUGAGCCAUUCAAAUGAUUCCAGUCAGAAUGCCAGGAAUGAUUCAGUUGACAUUGGAGAUAAAUUGAACUAUGUCCCUGAAAUAGUAAAUCCAGGAGUCAUAUUGUAAUUGCCAAGGGAUCAUCAUAG